GCUCCCGGAAGUGGAGGGUCUGCACGGAGAGCGCCGCUGGGUCUGGGUGCCUGGAGGCAGAAGUGCUCUCGGAGCUCGCUCAUCGGCCGCCGACCGCCAUGUCGUCCUUCGAUACCAAUCCCUUCACGGACCCAGUGGACGUAAACCCCUUCCAGGAUCCCUCUGUGACCCAGCUGACCAAUGCCCCACAAGGAGGCCUGGCUGAAUUCAACCCUUUCUCAGAGACAAAUGCAGCGAUGACGGUUCCUGUCUCACAGAUGCCCGGGCCCUCGCAGCCGGCAGUUUUCCAACCCUCAGUGGAGCCCACCCAGCCAACCCCCCAGACUGCGGCCUCUGCAGCCCAGGCAAGCCUGCUCCGGCAGCAGGAAGAACUGGACAGGAAAGCGGCCGAGCUGGAACGGAAGGAGCGGGAGCUUCAGAACAUGGUGGCCAACUUACAUGCCAGAGAGAACAACUGGCUGCCCCUGGCUGUGUGGUGCCCUGUCAAGCCCUGCUUCUAUCAGGACUUCUCCACAGAGAUCCCUGCCGACUACCAGCGGAUAUGCAAGAUGCUCUCCUAUCUCUGGAUGUUGCAUUCAGUGACACUGUUUCUGAACCUGCUUGCCUGCCUGACCUGGUUCUUAGUCAACACCUCCAGGGGAGUAGACUUUGGCCUCUCCAUCCUGUGGUUUGUGAUCUUCACCCGCUGUGCCUUCCUUUGUUGGUAUCGACCCACCUAUAAGGCUUUCAGGUCUGACAACUCUUUCAGCUUCUUCGUGUUCUUCUUUGUAUUUUUCUGUCAAAUCUGCAUUAUCCAGUGGAUCGGCAUCCCUAGCUUUGGGGACAGUGGCUGGAUUGCAGCCCUGUCUACGAUGAAGCACAACUUGGCUGUGUCGGGCAUCACGAUGGUGGUGGGUGGCUUCUUCACCCUCUGUGCCGUGCUCUCACUCUUCCUCCUGAAGCGGGUGCAGUCCCUGUACCGCAGGACAGGGGCAGCUUCCAGCAGGCGCAGGAGGAGUUUUCCCAGGGCAUCUUCAGUAGCAGGACCUUCUGCAGUGCUGCCUCAUCUGCUGCCCAAGGAGCGUUCCAGGGGAAUUAGUCCUCCUGACUCCUCCCUCUGCCCUGGCCUUCUCUCUCACCUGCCUUCUGAGC